UACGUAGGGUGCAAGCGUUGUCCGGAAUUAUUGGGCGUAAAGAGCUCGUAGGCGGUUUGUCGCGUCUGCUGUGAAAACUCGGGGCUUAACCCCGGGCCUGCAGUGGGUACGGGCAGACUAGAGUGCGGUAGGGGAGAUUGGAAUUCCUGGUGUAGCGGUGAAAUGCGCAGAUAUCAGGAGGAACACCGAUGGCGAAGGCAGGUCUCUGGGCCGAUACUGACGCUGAGGAGCGAAAGCGUGGGGAGCGAACAGG
rnacentral:rRNA from 1 species